rnacentral:rRNA from 1 species
CCUACGGGAGGCAGCAGUGGGGAAUAUUGGACAAUGGGCGGAAGCCUGAUCCAGCCAUGCCGCGUGUGUGAAGAAGGCCUUUUGGUUGUAAAGCACUUUAAGCGAGGAGGAGGCUACCUGGAUUAAUACUCUAGGAUAGUGGACGUUACUCGCAGAAUAAGCACCGGCUAACUCUGUGCCAGCAGCCGCGGUAAUACAGAGGGUGCGAGCGUUAAUCGGAUUUACUGGGCGUAAAGCGUGCGUAGGCGGCUGAUUAAGUCGGAUGUGAAAUCCCUGAGCUUAACUUAGGAAUUGCAUUCGAUACUGGUCAGCUAGAGUAUGGGAGAGGAUGGUAGAAUUCCAGGUGUAGCGGUGAAAUGCGUAGAGAUCUGGAGGAAUACCGAUGGCGAAGGCAGCCAUCUGGCCUAAUACUGACGCUGAGGUACGAAAGCAUGGGGAGCAAACAGGAUUAGAUACCCUGGUAGUCCAUGCCGUAAACGAUGUCUACUAGCCGUUGGGGCCUUUGAGGCUUUAGUGGCGCAGCUAACGCGAUAAGUAGACUGCCUGGGGAGUACGGUCGCAAGACUAAAACUCAAAGGAAUUGACGGA